rnacentral:rRNA from 1 species
UAGGGAAUCUUCCACAAUGGACGCAAGUCUGAUGGAGCAACGCCGCGUGCGUGAAGAAGGUUUUCGGAUCGUAAAGCUCUGUUGUUGGUGAAGAAGGAUAGAGGCAGUAACUGGUCUUUAUUUGACGGUAAUCAACCAGAAAGUCACGGCUAACUACGUGCCAGCAGCCGCGGUAAUACGUAGGUGGCAAGCGUUGUCCGGAUUUAUUGGGCGUAAAGCGAGCGCAGGCGGAAUGAUAAGUCUGAUGUGAAAGCACACGGCUCAACCGUGGAACUGCAUCGGAAACUGUCAUUCUUGAGUGCAGAAGAGGAGAGUAGAAUUCCAUGUGUAGCGGUGGAAUGCGUAGAUAUAUGGAAGAGCACCAGUGGCGAAGGCGGCUCUCUGGUCUGCAACUGACGCUGAGGCUCGAAAGCAUGGGUAGCGAACAGG